GGCCCGGACGCAGCUAUAAUGCAGUCGACGCUUCUUUCCUCCCGAGUGCUUGCACUCAAUUGGAAAGAGGAGUGGCGGACGGGUGAGUAACACGUGGGUAACCUACCCAUCAGAGGGGGAUAACACUUGGAAACAGGUGCUAAUACCGCAUAACAGUUUAUGCCGCAUGGCAUAAGAGUGAAAGGCGCUUUCGGGUGUCGCUGAUGGAUGGACCCGCGGUGCAUUAGCUAGUUGGUGAGGUAACGGCUCACCAAGGCCACGAUGCAUAGCCGACCUGAGAGGGUGAUCGGCCACACUGGGACUGAGACACGGCCCAGACUCCUACGGGAGGCAGCAGUAGGGAAUCUUCGGCAAUGGACGAAAGUCUGACCGAGCAACGCCGCGUGAGUGAAGAAGGUUUUCGGAUCGUAAAACUCUGUUGUUAGAGAAGAACAAGGACGUUAGUAACUGAACGUCCCCUGACGGUAUCUAACCAGAAAGCCACGGCUAACUACGUGCCAGCAGCCGCGGUAAUACGUAGGUGGCAAGCGUUGUCCGGAUUUAUUGGGCGUAAAGCGAGCGCAGGCGGUUUCUUAAGUCUGAUGUGAAAGCCCCCGGCUCAACCGGGGAGGGUCAUUGGAAACUGGGAGACUUGAGUGCAGAAGAGGAGAGUGGAAUUCCAUGUGUAGCGGUGAAAUGCGUAGAUAUAUGGAGGAACACCAGUGGCGAAGGCGGCUCUCUGGUCUGUAACUGACGCUGAGGCUCGAAAGCGUGGGGAGCAAACAGGAUUAGAUACCCUGGUAGUCCACGCCGUAAACGAUGAGUGCUAAGUGUUGGAGGGUUUCCGCCCUUCAGUGCUGCAGCAAACGCAUUAAGCACUCCGCCUGGGGAGUACGACCGCAAGGGUUGAAACUCAAAGGAAUUGACGGGGGCCCGCACAAGCGGUGGAGCAUGUGGUUUAAUUUCGAAGCAACGCGAAGAACCUUACCAGGUCUUGACAUCCUUUGACCACCUCUAGAGAUAGAGCUUUCCCUUCCGGGAC
rnacentral:rRNA from 1 species